GGGUUGUCAUGCCAAUGGCACUGCCCGGUAGCUAAAUGCGGAAGAGAUAAGUGCUGAAAGCAUCUAAGCACGAAACUUGCCCCGAGAUGAGUUCUCCCUGAGACUUUAAGUCUCCUGAAGGAACGUUAAAGACGAUGACGUUGAUAGGCCGGGUGUGUAAGCGCAGCGAUGCGUUGAGCUAACCGGUACUAAUGAACCGUGAGGCUUAACCUUCAAACGCCGAAG
rnacentral:rRNA from 1 species